GUGCUCGCUUUGAUAGCAUAUAUACUAAAAUUGGAAUGAUACAGAUUAACAUGGCUCCUCUGCAAAGGUAACAUGCAAAUUUUAGCACUUAUGAGGUGAAGCACUCCAUAUUUUU
rnacentral:snRNA from 1 species